GCGGCGGCGAGGGUCGGCGGCGGCAGCGGCCGCGACGCUGAGGAGUCGGGCUCCCCUCUGCCCUAGCUAGGCCGAGGUGGGUCCCCGCGGCUGCGGCGGCGUUGGCGGGGCACGGGGGCGCCGGGGAUCGUCGCCGGAGCUCGAGGAGGUAGGGAGGAAGCCGAGGAGUGGGGUGGCGGCGCUCCCAGGGACUCGGGCUCACCAAAAGGAGAGAGAGAGAAAAGGAGGAGGGAGAUGGUGAGGGGGAAAGUGAGAGAGGAGAGUGAGGGGUUAGGGUUUGAGUGGGGGAGAGAAGAAAACCCUACGGUAGCGUUGGUUCGGGAAAAAAAAAAAGAAAAAAGAAUAAGUCUUUNCGGAGCUCGAGGAGGUAGGGAGGAAGCCGAGGAGUGGGGUGGCGGCGCUCCCAGGGACUCGGGCUCACCAAAAGGAGAGAGAGAGAAAAGGAGGAGGGG
rnacentral:lncRNA from 1 species